rnacentral:tRNA from 1 species
GAGCAUGUAGCUCAGCUGGAAGAGCGAUAGCCUCCUAAAUCCAUAAUUUGGAGAAAGCUAUAGGCCGAGGGUUCAAAUCCCUCCAUGCUCG